rnacentral:rRNA from 1 species
GACAGAGGGUGCAAACGUUGCUCGGAAUCACUGGGCGUAAAGGGCGUGUAGGCGGGAAUGUAAGUCGGGCGUGAAAGCCCCAGGCUCAACCUGGGAACUGCACUCGAAACUGCGUUUCUUGAGUAUCGGAGAGGAAAGCGGAAUACCUGGUGUAGAGGUGAAAUUCGUAGAUAUCAGGUGGAACACCAGUGGCGAAGGCGGCAUCCUGGACCGACAUUGACGCUGAACGGCGAAAGCUAGGGGAGCAAACGGG